CUGAGUGCAAAUGUUUGUUUUAGGUAGCAAGGCAGGCAAGCAUGGGGACAGUUUGGCUGAAUAAUUAACUUUUAUCUGAUUGUCCUUUGGAUCCUUCCUUGUUUUCCUCAUAAGGCCCAUCUCUGCUCCAGUUGGCAAAACAUCAUCAAGAUGUUCUGGCUCCUGGGAGUUAGCAUAUCCCCCCUCACCCCCACUUGAGCAGACAUCGACCUGUUGGGUGUCACAAGGAAUUCCACAAGGAAUGCCUGCCAGAUAGAUGGAAGAAUAGAAACCUAUGAGAUUACCAAGGAGAUUAAGAAGUAUCCUUGAAAUCAGACUAUAGAUUUAAACUGUUCGGUGUAUAAAAUAGGGCAAACUACUUAACUCUUCUGGGCUAUAUAUGUUCAUCUGGAAAGAAGGAUAUUAAAAAUAUCUACUCGGGUUGCCAUAUAAUCUCUUUCUCCCAGAGGACUCUGGAACAGAUUGCAAAGGCUUCACUUACUAUGCAGCUGAGAUAUCCCAUGUGGGG
ensembl:lncRNA